rnacentral:rRNA from 1 species
UAGGGAAUCUUCCACAAUGGACGCAAGUCUGAUGGAGCAACGCCGCGUGAGUGAAGAAGGUCUUCGGAUCGUAAAACUCUGUUGUUAGAGAGGAACACGAGUGAGAGUAACUGUUCAUUCGAUGACGGUAUCUAACCAGCAAGUCACGGCUAACUACGUGCCAG